GACGAACGCUGGCGGCGUGCUUAACACAUGCAAGUCGAACGGAAAGGCCCUGCUUUUGUGGGGUGCUCGAGUGGCGAACGGGUGAGUAACACGUGAGUCACCUGCCCUUGACUUUGGGAUAACUUCAGGAAACUGGGGCUAAUACCGGAUAGGAGCUCCUGCUGCAUGGUGGGGGUUGGAAAGUUUCGGCGGUGGGGGAUGGACUCGCGGCUUAUCAGCUUGUUGGUGGGGUAGUGGCUUACCAAGGCUUUGACGGGUAGCCGGCCUGAGAGGGUGACCGGCCACAUUGGGACUGAGAUACGGCCCAGACUCCUACGGGAGGCAGCAGGGGGGAAUAUUGCACAAUGGGCGGAAGCCUGAUGAAGCAACGCCGCGUGCGGGAUGACGGCCUUCGGGUGGUAAACCGCUUUCGCCUGUGGCGAAGCGUGAGUGACGGUAAUGGGUAAAGAAGCACCGGCUAACUACGUG
rnacentral:rRNA from 1 species